rnacentral:rRNA from 1 species
UACAGAGGUCUCAAGCGUUGUUCGGAUUCAUUGGGCGUAAAGGGCGCGUAGGCGGCGGGGUAAGUCGGGUGUGAAAUCUCAGGGCUCAACCCUGAAACUGCACUCGAUACUGCUCUGCUUGAGGACUGGAGAGGAGACUGGAAUUCCCGGUGUAGCGGUGAAAUGCGCAGAUAUCGGGAGGAACACCGGUGGCGAAGGCGGUUCUCUGGGCCUACCUGACGCUGAGGAGCGAAGCGUGGGAGCGAACAGG